rnacentral:rRNA from 1 species
GGCGGACGGGUGAGUAACGCGUGGAUAAUCUACCUUGGAGUGGGGAACAACCUCGGGAAACCGAGGCUAAUUCCGCAGAUGGUCUUUUUACAUAAGUAUGGAGAUCUAAAGGCGGCGCAAGCUGUCGCUCUGAGAGGAGUCCGCGUACCAUUAGCUUGUUGGUAGGGUAACGGCCUACCAAGGCUACGAUGGUUAGCUGGUCUGAGAGGACGAUCAGCCACAGUGGCACUGAGACACGGGCCACACUCC